rnacentral:rRNA from 1 species
UGCGUAGGCGGCCCUGCAAGUAUCUUGUGAAAGCCCACGGCUCAACCGUGGAACUGCUUGGUAGACUGCAGGGCUUGAGCCCGACAGAGGUCGUCGGAACUCUAGGUGGAGCGGUGAAAUGCGUAGAUAUCUAGGGGAACGCCAAAGGUGAAGACAGGCGACUGGGUCGGAGCUGACGCUCAGGCACGAAAGCGUGGGUAGCGAACG